rnacentral:rRNA from 1 species
GACGAACGCUGGCGGCGUGCCUAAUACAUGCAAGUCGAACGCUUCUUUUUCCACCGGAGCUUGCUCCACCGGAAAAAGAGGAGUGGCGAACGGGUGAGUAACACGUGGGUAACCUGCCCAUCAGAGGGGGAUAACAUUCGGAAACGGAUGCUAAUACCGCAUAGUUUCAGGAAUCGCAUGAUUCUUGAAGGAAAGGUGGCUUCGGCUACCACUAAUGGAUGGACCCGCGGCGUAUUAGCUAGUUGGUGAGGUAAUGGCUCACCAAGGCAAUGAUACGUAGCCGACCUGAGAGGGUGAUCGGCCACACUGGGACUGAGACACGGCCCAGACUCCUACGGGAGGCAGCAGUAGGGAAUCUUCCGCAAUGGACGAAAGUCUGACGGAGCAACGCCGCGUGAGUGAAGAAGGUUUUCGGAUCGUAAAACUCUGUUGUUAAAGAAGAACAAGGAUGAGAGUAACUGCUCAUCCCCUGACGGUAUCUAACCAGAAAGCCACGGCUAACUACGUGCCAGCAGCCGCAGUAAAAC